AUUUCAAAAUACGUCCCUUUUUUGUUUUUUUUUUUUUUUACCGAAAAAAAUUAAGCAUUUCAAAUUAACCUGUCUUUAAUCCCCAACAGAAGAAAUCUCCAUGUUAGCCAUGGUGAUUGUUGAUUACCAGUUGAUUGCUGCUCAAAGUCAGCCAUGCUGAUGCAAAGAAACCCUUGUCGCGACUCCUUCUCGACGACAAGAUUAAAUUUUUAUUGCUUUGAAUGGGGUAAGACAUGCACGAUUCCACGGUUGAAGCAGGAAAAUUUGGGGAAUCAAAUCCAACAAUAUCGUGUUGCUGGACGCUGGACGUGAGGUUGGGUAGCAACUUAUUGAUUUGGUGUCCGCCAGUCGAAACAUUAUGCCAUAUAUGCGAUUCCGUCAGCCAUGUCAGCAUUUCUGUCAUUUUUUUGAACGAUUGUUCAGUCACUGAUCAAAGGGAUUACAUAUUGCAAGGCUAGUGAUUAACAUAGCGAUUUUCAAAGUUCAAUGACUCAUUGAAAACCUUUUGCAAAGUUCAAUACCAUUUGGAUUAUUAUCCCUUUUAAGAAUAAGUACAUAUCAUAAAAAUGAUUUGAGCAACUUUCAUGGUGAUAGUGUGAGAAAAAAGGGCAAGUGGGGAUAAUGAUGUAAUGAUUUUGCCCUACUCAACUCUAUACCUAUUAUUUAUAACCCACUUCUCUAGGCUAAUCACCUUCAGCUUCAUUUAAGAGGCAUUCACAUUUCAUACAAAAUCAGUGACAAAACUGAUUGAAAAAAUGUAUUGGAAUGAAGCAUUUCAUGGAUCUUGAUAAAGCACAGCAGUUGGAAUGGUUUCGAGUUCAAAUUGUUUGCCUGUAAUUGGCCAUAACCUUGAGAAAUUUAAGGUUACAGCCAGUUUACAGCAAACCGGCAAGUCACAGAACGGCAGUGGGCUCUGUUAAGAGUCUUUUUUAUGGCUAAUGUUUGUUCUUUUCUAUAUGUAGGUGAUAAGAAAGUGUUCUAAUUAGUUCAGUUCGUCUGAAGGAGAGUUUAUGCACCUGAUUUCAUAGGUUCAAAUCCUUCUUGCAAUAAUAAAUUUUAGUUUCUGUUUUCCUUGACUUGUUCAGUAUUUGUGGUGACUGAUGACAAUAGCAGUAUUACUGUUGCAACAUUCCAAUGGUGAUGGAAAAUUUUCCGUUACUGUCGGAAAAAUGUCGUCUGGUAUCAGCGAUUGAAAUGUAUCGUGGAAAAUUUUCCAUUUUUGUUGGUGCGUUUUCUAGUGGUGCAUACUCGUCCUAUCUGCUUCAUUUUUCAAACUAUUUGUGUUUAACACUUGUACAAGUGCGUCCACAUGUGUGAUGGUGAAUCAGUAGUGAUGAAUGAAGAGGUAUAUAUAAACCCUGACUCGUGUUGUCAAAAAAGCAUCAUAUACAUCUGGCCACUUACACUACCAAAUAAAUUGACGAAUUCUAUCGUGAUGCUGUUCAUUGAUAGGAAAAUUGGCAAAUAUAGCUGGUGCUGUUUACUGUUGGGGCGAUUAUCGCAAGUACGUUGUCGUCACAUGUGUUCACAAAAAUAUCUUUCGAUUUCUAACCAUUGCAAGUGCAUGAUUUGUUAACAAGUAAAAAAGUGAAUUUUAAGUUCAAGUAUCAUCACACCUUAAUUGAUUUGGUUCGAUUUUAAUUAUCGUGACCUUAAC
rnacentral:lncRNA from 1 species